UUGCUGAGCUUUCUCCGGCUAAAAAUUGCCUUACCCCAGGGGACUCCUGUGCCUGAGGGACUGCAGAGUGUUCUGCUGGGCAUGCCAGAUAUUUUUUGCUGGAAGAAGGAGAGUGCCUACAGUUUGCACCAGAGGCAGGAGUGUUUCAGGAGUAUUCUAUGCACACUGCCCAUCUUUUGUUUUCCAAAGAAAUGGGAGAUGAACAGGACAGGGGCUGAAACUCCUCCUCUGAUGAAGAGCAGCAGUUGGUGAUUUUCCUGAUUUAAAGCUAGACAAAUGGGCUCCUUACACAGCUGAAAUCUUCUUUCAGACAGUGGUGAAGAAAGAGCUCUGAAGUUAACUCAAAUGGAUCCUGAAGAUGAAAAGAACAAAGAAUACAAAGACCAUGGCUUGAAAAAGAACUAUUUUUUUCUUUCUUUCCUCUACUUUUUUUUCUUUUGGAAGCCAGAGCUGUGCUUUUGCCCUGAUAGAUGUUUUUGAAUGCUGGAUGCUGGCAAAUGGGGACCAAUCUGAAUAAAUAC